AGAGUUUGAUCCUGGCUCAGGAUGAACGCUGGCGGCGUGCUUAACACAUGCAAGUCGAGCGAAGCGCUUAAGCGGAUUUCUUCGGAUUGAAGCUUUUGUGACUGAGCGGCGGACGGGUGAGUAACGCGUGGGGAACCUGCCUCAUACAGGGGGAUAACAGUUAGAAAUGACUGCUAAUACCGCAUAAGCGCACAGAAGCGCGUGCUUCAGUGUGAAAAGCUCCGGCGGUAUGAGAUGGACCCGCGUUAGAUUAGCCAGUUGGCGGGGUAACGGCCCACCAAAGCGACGAUCUAUAGCCGGCCUGAGAGGGCGACCGGCCACAUUGGGACUGAGACACGGCCCAAACUCCUACGGGAGGCAGCAGUGGGGAAUAUUGCACAAUGGGGGAAACCCUGAUGCAGCGACGCCGCGUGAGCGAAGAAGUAUUUCGGUAUGUAAAGCUCUAUCAGCAGGGAAGAAAGUGACGGUACCUGACUAAGAAGCCCCGGCUAACUACGUGCCAGCAGCCGCGGU
rnacentral:rRNA from 1 species